rnacentral:lncRNA from 1 species
UGUAAUUUUCAGUUCGGGCUGGUUCUAGAAGGAUAGGAACUGCGGGUACCCGGACCGGCCCUUUUGCAAUUGAAAUGGACGAACGAGAUUGAAGAAAGCAUCUCUCCAUCUAAUCUUAACUGUUAGUUUUAGGUUUCCUCGUCAUUGACCUCGACUUUGUCACUCGACUCGAGUCUUCGAACUCGAUUUCAUCUCCCACAGUCUCUCUCCAAAGUCAGUGCCUUAUCGGUAACCCAAUCAAUCGACAAUUGAUGGCGUUGCGAGG